rnacentral:miRNA from 1 species
AUAGAUAGGAUUUUGCUCAUA